UACGAAGGGUGCAAGCGUUACUCGGAAUUACUGGGCGUAAAGCGUGCGUAGGUGGUUUGUUAAGUCUGCUGUGAAAGCCCCGGGCUCAACCUGGGAAUGGCAGUGGAUACUGGCAAGCUAGAGUGCGGUAGAGGGUAGUGGAAUUCCCGGUGUAGCGGUGAAAUGCGUAGAGAUCGGGAGGAACACCAGUGGCGAAGGCGACUUCCUGGCCUGUUCUUGACGCUGAGGCGCGAAAGCUAGGGGAGCAAGCGGG
rnacentral:rRNA from 1 species